rnacentral:rRNA from 1 species
UAGGGAAUCUUCCACAAUGGACGAAAGUCUGAUGGAGCAAUGCCGCGUGAGUGAGGAAGGUUUUCGGAUCGUAAAACUCUGUUGUGAGGGAAGAACAAGUACGAGAGUAACUGCUCGUACCUUGACGGUACCUCAUUAGAAAGCCACGGCUAACUACGUGCCAGCAGCCGCGGUAAUACGUAGGUGGCAAGCGUUGUCCGGAAUUAUUGGGCGUAAAGCGCGCGCAGGCGGUCCCUUAAGUCUGAUGUGAAAUCCCACGGCUCAACCGUGGAAGGUCAUUGGAAACUGGGGGACUUGAGUACAGAAGAGGAAAGCGGAAUUCCAAGUGUAGCGGUGAAAUGCGUAGAGAUUUGGAGGAACACCAGUGGCGAAGGCGGCUUUCUGGUCUGUAACUGACGCUGAGGCGCGAAAGCGUGGGGAGCAAACAG